UUCAUCAGAAUGAGGCAGCAUGGCUGGCACUAGGAAUAUGGAAACUCAAAUCAGUCUUUGAUCUUAAGGAACUCACAUUCUAGUGGAGAGAAAGACAAGCACACAGAUGUAUAUGAAUCUGUGGAUCCUUUUUCAGAA
rnacentral:lncRNA from 1 species